UGGGGAAUAUUGCACAAUGGGGGAAACCCUGAUGCAGCGACGCCGCGUGAGCGAAGAAGGCUUUCGAGUCGUAAAGCUCUGUCCUAUGAGAAGAUAAUGACGGUAUCAUAGGAGUAAGCCCUUGCUAAAUACGUGCCAGCAGCCGCGGUAAUACGUAUGGGGCGAGCGUUGUCCGGAAUUAUUGGGCGUAAAGGGUACGUAGGCGGUUUUUUAAGUCAGGUGUCAAAGCGUGGAGCUUAACUCCAUUAAGCACUUGAAACUGAAAGACUUGAGUGGAGGAGAGGAAAGUGGAAUUCCUAGUGUAGCGGUGAAAUGCGUAGAUAUUAGGAGGAAUACCGGUGGCGAAGGCGACUUUCUGGACUUUUACUGACGCUCAGGUACGAAAGCGUGGGGAGCAAACAGG
rnacentral:rRNA from 1 species